CCUACGGGACGCAGCAGUGGGGAAUAUUGCACAAUGGGGGGAACCCUGACGCAGCGACGCCGCGUGAGGGAUGAAGGUUUUAGAUCGUAAACCUCUGUCAGGAGGGAAGAAAGCGCAUGGCGCCAAUCAGCCAUGCGUUGACGGUACCUCCAAAGGAAGCGCCGGCUAACUCCGUGCCAGCAGCCGCGGUAAUACGGAGGGCGCGAGCGUUAAUCGGAAUUACUGGGCGUAAAGCGCGCGUAGGCUGUUGUGUAAGUUGGGGGUGAAAUCCCACGGCUCAACCGUGGAACAGCCCUUGAUACUGC
rnacentral:rRNA from 1 species